GCCUCGGCUAACUACGUGCCAGCAGCCGCGGUAAAACGUAGGAGGCGAGCGUUAUCCGGAUUUACUGGGUGUAAAGCGCGUGCAGGCGGUCUGUUAAGUUGGAUGUGAAAGCUCCCGGCUCACCUGGGAGAGGUCGUUCAAGACUGGCAGACUGGAGAGCAGUAGGGGAAGGUGGAAUUCCGGGUGUAGUGGUGAAAUGCGUAGAUAUCCGGAGGAACACCAGUGGCGAAGGCGGCCUUCUGGACUGCAUCUGACGCUCAGACGCGAAAGCUAGGGGAGCAAACGGGAUUAGAGACCCCGGUAGUCCUAGCCGUAAACGAUGUGAACUUGGCGCCGGUUGGGUAAAACCGAUCGGUGCCGAAGCAAACGCGAUAAGUUCACCACCUGGGGACUACGGCCGCA
rnacentral:rRNA from 1 species